GGGCCCGUAGCUCAGCGGUAGAGCAGGGGACUUUUAAUCCCUUGGUCCUGGGUUCGAAUCCCAGCGGGCUCACCA
rnacentral:tRNA from 1 species